CUUCUAUCCAGGUAGGUGUAUUCCUGAGCACAUAAAGGAAUUGUGGUAGUAUCACCAUUUUAACCAAUGAAACUCGGUCAGCUCUAGAUAGGGGAAGUCUCAGCCAAAUCCCUAUUUUAGCUCUAAUCUUUCCCAUAAUGGAAAUCAAAU